UCUGUGGAUCAUCCCACAAGCACUUGAUCAGUUUGGGAUCUAGGGAAUUUGGAGGCCAGGUCAACGCCUUGUGACCCUACCAGGUCCAAGAGUUUCCCAGCAGAACACUGAAUUAUUACAAGAUGCUCAAUCUUAUUCACUCCAGUCAGUGGUCAUAAUGUUCUGACUGAUCGGUGUAUAUUUCAUAUAUUGCAUGAGUUUUAGUUUUCAUUAGUACUUCUAAGAUCUUGUUUCCAAUUUUGUCAUUUCCUUCCUAGAUCUACCGAUCAGGCAGCUGUGGAGGACCCGGUGUACAGCAGGGUUGACAAAAACCACAGAGUGUGAAGACAUCACGGUUCUGCAGAGCUCAUUAGGCUCACCUGGGCAGGAGACUGGUGGGACCACCUGAUCCAGCUGCAGCCAAUCACCAAUCAGUGCUCUUUAAAAGGAUCGCUGUGACUUCCCUCCAGUGACGCAUAAUUUCACAUUACUUGGUCUGUGCCAGCAUUUGAACUGAAAGUUUAGAGAGGGAAACCUCCUGUUGUGAGAAUUUGUUCAGUUUCUGUGUCUUUUUCUUCUUUGUGUGAUUUCCUUCCCUGGAGUUUUCAACUCCUGUAGUUUGCCUUCUUGAAUUUUUGUUUUUGUAUUCUCCUGCUUAGUUGUUGUAAUAAACUGGAUUUGUUAACUUUA